UACGGAGGAUGCGAGCGUUAUCCGGAUUUAUUGGGUUAAAGGGUGCGCAGGCGGUCUGUUAAGUCAGCGGUCAAAGCCCGGGGCUCAACCCCGGCCCGCCGUUGAAACUGGCAGUCUCGAGUUGGAGAGAAGUAUGCGGAAUGCGCGGUGUAGCGGUGAAAUGCAUAGAUAUCGCGCAGAACUCCGAUUGCGAAGGCAGCAUGCCGGCUCCACACUGACGCUGAGGCACGAAGCGUGGGUAGUCGAACAGG
rnacentral:rRNA from 1 species